AUUGAACGCUGGCGGAAUGCUUUACACAUGCGAGUCGAGCGGCAGCACGGGGGUAACCCUGGUGGCGAGCGGCGAACGGGUGAGUAAUACAUCGGAACAUGCCCAGUCGUGGGGGAUAACACUUCGAAAGAAGUGCUAAUACCGCAUACGUCCUGAGGGAGAAAGCGGGGGAUCGCAAGACCUCGCGCGAUUGGAGUGGCCGAUGUCAGAUUAGCUAGUUGGUGGGGUAAAGGCCUACCAAGGCAACGAUCUGUAGCUGGUCUGAGAGGAUGAUCAGCCACACUGGGACUGAGACACGGCCCAGACUCCUACGGGAGGCAGCAGUGGGGAAUUUUGGACAAUGGGGGCAACCCUGAUCCAGCCAUUCCGCGUGAGUGAAGAAGGCCUUCGGGUUGUAAAGCUCUUUCGGCAGGAACGAAACGGUGAGCUCUAACAUAGCUUGCUAAUGACGGUACCUGAAGAAGAAGCACCGGCUAACUACGUG
rnacentral:rRNA from 1 species